GACGAACGCUGGCGGCGUGCCUAAUACAUGCAAGUCGAGCGCAGGAAACUGACGGAACUCUUCGGAGGGAAGGCAGUGGAAUGAGCGGCGGACGGGUGAGUAACACGUAAGGAACCUGCCUCAAGGAUUGGGAUAACUCCGAGAAAUCGGAGCUAAUACCGGAUAGUUCAACGGACCGCAUGGUCCGCUGAUGAAAGGCGCUCCGGCGUCUCCUUGAGAUGGCCUUGCGGUGCAUUAGCUAGUUGGUGGGGUAACGGCCCACCAAGGCGACGAUGCAUAGCCGACCUGAGGGGGUGAUCGGCCACACUGGGACUGAGACACGGCCCAGACUCCUACGGGAGGCAGCAGUAGGGAAUCUUCCACAAUGGACGAAAGUCUGAUGGAGCAACGCCGCGUGAGUGAUGAAGGUUUUCGGAUCGUAAAACUCUGUUGUAAGGGAAGAACACGUACGAGAGGAAAUGCUCGUGCCUUGACGGUACCUUACGAGAAAGCCACGGCUAACUACGUGCCAGCCGCCGCAGUAA
rnacentral:rRNA from 1 species